AUUGAACGCUGGCGGCGUGCUUAACACAUGCAAGUCGAUCGGUAACGCGGGGGCAACCCUGGCGACGAGAGGCGGACGGGUGAGGAACGCUUGGUAAUCUGCCCUUCAGCGGGGGACAACACGGGGAAACUCGUGCUAAUACCGCAUACGCCCCACGGAGGAAAGCCGGGGACCGCCAGGCCUGGCACUGAAGGAUGAGCCCAAGUCGGAUUAGGUAGUUGGCGGGGUAACUGCCCACCAAGGCGACGAUCCGUAGCUGGUCUUAGAGGACCAUCAGCCACACUGGGACUGAGACACGGCCCAGACUCCUACGAGAGGCAGCAGGGGGGAAUAUUGGACAAUGGGGGAAACCCUGAUCCAGCGACGCCGCGUGGGUGAAGAAGGCCUGCGGGUUGUAAAGCCCUUUCGGUAGGGACGAAAGCUCUCGACCUAACACGUCGGGAGGUUGACUUAACCUACAAAAGAAGCACCGGCUAACUCUGUGCCAGCCGCCGCCGUAACAC
rnacentral:rRNA from 1 species